CUCGGGGGCGGGGGCCGCGGUGGCUUGGAGGGCAAACCACUGGAGAAGGCGUUUCCCUGCCACGCGGGCUCUCCAGCUCUCUUGACCAGUUCCGGUCGUUCCUCCCCAUCUACACCUCUGGAGACACUCUUGCUGAGGCACAUAUUGGGAACUCACGCGUUUGUUAAGUGAACCCGGGAAGGGCUUUUGUUCUGAGGCACGCAGUUUUCGCAGCCCUGGCGAUGGCUGGGAAGGAGUCCUCCAACAAAUGUGUAUGGAGCACCACUAUGGCCCAGGUCUCUGGCAGAUUUGGGGGGAUACAAAUCUUGUAAGAUAUGGCUCCUGACCUUGCAGUUCUCAUGCUUUCCCUAAUACGAGUUCUUUGAACA